rnacentral:rRNA from 1 species
UGGGGAAUAUUGCACAAUGGGGGAAACCCUGAUGCAGCGACGCCGCGUGAACGAAGAAGGUAUUCGUAUCGUAAAGUUCUGUCCUAUGGGAAGAUAAUGACAGUACCAUAGAAGAAAGCUCCGGCUAGAUACGUGCCAGCAGCCGCGGUAAUACGUAUGGAGCGAGCGUUGUCCGGAAUUAUUGGGCGUAAAGGGUACGCAGGCGGUUUAAUAAGUCGAAUGUUAAAGAUCGGGGCUCAACCCCGCAAAGCAUUGGAAACUGAUAAACUUGAGUAGUGGAGAGGAAAGUGGAAUUCCUAGUGUAGUGGUGAAAUACGUAGAUAUUAGGAGGAAUACCAGUAGCGAAGGCGACUUUCUGGACACAAACUGACGCUGAGGUACGAAAGCGUGGGGAGCAAACAGG